rnacentral:misc_RNA from 1 species
AAAAAAAAAAAAUAUUUUUUUUAUAUCUAUUUUCAUUUGUGCCAUCACAAGGGAGAAGUAAUCAACCCGUGGGUAUCACAAGGGAAGGUGGGUAUCACAAGGGAAGGUGGUGAUCAGCCUCUUUCUCAAAUCCUCCGAUUAGCUCGAAGUUGAGAUCUUUCUUAAGCUGGCUCAAAAAGAUAGGCCUCACCAAAAGAACCUUCACUCACUCGUAUAUCCGCUUUCUUUUUAGAAGCGUAGGAAAUAUGAUGAUGGAUCCGAUGAGGAAGAGCAUGGACAGAGUUUUAAAAUCAUAAAGAUCCUUGACUGACUUGAGAUCCCCAAGAGCAAGGCCAGCCCUGACAGUAAUAUAGGAGGCUGGUAUAAGUCCAAGCAAAGUCGCCAAAAAGAAAACAUGAAAUGGUAUGUCAACAAUUGGAGAUGCCAAAUUGAUGAAAAGGUUGGGCAACGUUGGAGUUACUCUCAAAAAGAGCAUGUAAUUAAGCAGCUUUUCCUUACGCUUAGCUAUCUCAGCCUGAAAAACCCUCAACUUCUCAG